UACGUAGGGCGCAAGCGUUGUCCGGAAUUAUUGGGCGUAAAGAGCUCGUAGGCGGCCUGUCGCGUCUGCUGUGAAAUCCCGGGGCUUAACCCCGGGCGUGCAGUGGAUACGGGCUGGCUGGAGGCAGGCAGGGGAGGAACGGAAUUCCCGGUGUAGCGGUGAAAUGCGCAGAUAUCGGGAGGAACACCGGUGGCGAAGGCGGAUCUCUGGGCCAUUACUGACGCUGAGGAGCGAAAGCGUGGGGAGCGAACAGG
rnacentral:rRNA from 1 species